AAAUAUUUCACUUCAAUCCCAUUGUGUACAGCUUGGUUGCAACCUACCUAAUCUGUUUCAGUGUAGGAUGAAGCACUUAAUGUGGACCCCUUAGUGGAUUUACUUUUGAGCAUAAUGCUUCUAAACUCUGAGAUCAGUUCGCAAACUUGGAACAAAAAAUUAGAGGCUCAGUAUACCCUCUGCUUUUGCACUUUUAUCUCUUCUUAGUACAUCUUUCUCCAUAAUCCCUGCAAUAAUCUCCCCCCUUCACCAUCAGUCCAUGUUCCCAUGAACCCAGGAUCGUGGCCACCUGGUCUCAGACUUCUGAAUAAAUUGCUUAGUCAUGAAAGAGCUGUGAGAGAGUCUGUUGAAAAGGUGUAGGUGUGGUUGUUGGAAUUGAAUUGUUAGUUAAACAUUUUAAGAGGGGAAACAUCAACUUGGAAAUGUAUAUAAUAUUCAUGGAAAAAAAUGAGGGAGUCUCCUUAAGGUGUAAGGGCUUGUCUCCUGAAACUGCAAGGGCCAACCUUCCCCUCCUGCCUGGCCAGCAAAGACUUUUUGGGUGCUGUAUUGGACAGAGUCUCUACACCAAGUUCAAGAUGAUUGGACAAAUUAUCCCAAAAAAGGGGGAGGGGAUCUAUUUCCUUCAUUCAAGCAUUCAUCUAUAUCAGAAUGAACCUGUAAAUGUUUGUAAUGAGGACAUACACCACUGUCUUCCUGGAAAUAAGCAGUUAACAGACUUCAGAGGAAAUGAUAAAGCAUUAACAGACUUUGGAAGGGAGGCUUUACUUUGAAGAAAUCACCCAUCCACCUUUUGCUUUUUUAGGGAAGACAGAAACUGUCAAUCAUAGGAUCCAGAAGGGAACUGUAAGAUUGAGUACAAUGUCAGAGAAAAGGGAUGGGUGCUGUGAUGAUUUUGUGCAAUAAUUUUAACUGCAUUAUUACAAGGCUUUUUGUAUUAAUUUGUGAUUUGACUUAUCUGGUUAUUCAAAAUGGGCUGGACUGGUAAUAAAUUAAUAGCUUCUUAUGUGUGAUAUAUUCUA
rnacentral:lncRNA from 1 species